rnacentral:rRNA from 1 species
UACAGAGGGUGCGAGCGUUAAUCGGAAUUACUGGGCGUAAAGGGUGCGUAGGCGGAAGUACAAGUUGGGCGUGAAAUUCCUGGGCUUAACCUGGGGACUGCGUUCAAGACUGUAGAUCUGGAGUAUGGUAGAGGGAAGUGGAAUUUCCGGUGUAGCGGUGAAAUGCGUAGAUAUCGGAAGGAACAUCAGUGGCGAAGGCGACUUUCUGGACCAAUACUGACGCUGAGGCACGAAAGCGUGGGGAGCAAACAGG